CGUGACGGAGCAAUGCCGCGUGCGGGAUGAAGCCCCUUGGGGUGUAAACCGCUGUCAGGGUUUAGGAAUCAAUGACCAGACCCAAAGGAAGGACCGGCUAACUCUGUGCCAGCAGCCGCGGUAAUACAGAGGGUCCAAGCGUUGAUCGGAAUCACUGGGUUUAAAGGGUCCGCAGGCGGAUUGGCAAGUGCGUUGUGAAAUCCCACGGCUUAACCGUGGAACUGCUUCGCAGACUGCCAAUCUUGAGCGUGUCAGGGGUCGUCGGAACUCUAGGUGGAGCGGUGAAAUGCGUAGAUAUCUAGAGGAAUGCCGAAAGCGAAGGCGGACACCUGGGCCUGUCCUGACGCUCAUGCACGAAAGCGUGGGUAGCGAACGGGAUUAGAUACCCCGGUAGUCCACGCCCUAAACGAUGUGUACUAGGUAGCGGAGGUUUUGACGCCAUCGCUGCCGAAGCCAAAGUGUUAAGUACACCACCUGGGGAGUACGGUCGCAAGGCUAAAACUCAAAGGAAUUGACGGGG
rnacentral:rRNA from 1 species